UACGGGGGGUGCGAGCGUUGUCCGGAAUCACUGGGCGUAAAGGGCGCGUAGGCGGCGCGACAAGUCAAUGGUGAAAGCCCGAGGCUCAACUUCGGGUCGGCCACUGAUACUGUUGGGCUUGAGCACUGUAGAGGCAGGUGGAAUUCCGGGUGUAGCGGUGGAAUGCGUAGAGAUCAGGAGGAACACCCGUGGCGAAGGCGGCACUCUGGUCGACAUCUGACGCUGAGACGCGAAAGCGUGGGGAGCGAACGGG
rnacentral:rRNA from 1 species